GUCCAGACUCCUACGGGAGGCAGCAGUGGGGAAUAUUGCACAAUGGGGGAAACCCUGAUGCAGCGAUGCCGCGUGGAGGAAGAAGGUUUUCGGAUUGUAAACUCCUUUUAUCAGGGACGAUAAUGACGGUACCUGAGUAAGAAGCCCCGGCUAACUACGUGCCAGCAGCCGCGGUAAUACGUAGGGGGCAAGCGUUAUCCGGAUUUACUGGGUGUAAAGGGAGCGUAGACGGCAGAGCAAGUCUGAAGUGAAAGCCCGCGGCCCAACUGCGGGACUGCUUUGGAAACUGCCCGGCUAGAGUGCUGGAGAGGUAAGUGGAAUUCCUAGUGUAGCGGUGAAAUGCGUAGAUAUUAGGAGGAACACCAGUGGCGAAGGCGGCUUACUGGACAGUAACUGACGUUGAGGCUCGAAAGCGUGGGGAGCAAACAGGAUUAGAUACCCGUGUACA
rnacentral:rRNA from 1 species